UACAGAGGUCCCAAGCGUUGUUCGGAUUCACUGGGCGUAAAGGGUGCGUAGGUGGUUAGGUAAGUCUGAUGUGAAAUCUCUGGGCUCAACCCAGAAACUGCAUUGGAUACUAUCUAGCUAGAGGAGUGGAGGGGGGACUGGAAUACUUGGUGUAGCAGUGAAAUGCGUAGAUAUCGUAAGGAAGACCAGUGGCGAAGGCGAGUCUCUGGACAGUUACUGACGCUGAGGCACGAAGGCCAGGGGAGCAAACGGG
rnacentral:rRNA from 1 species